rnacentral:rRNA from 1 species
CAGUAGCCGCGGGAAUACGUAGGGUGCGAGCGUUAAUCGGAAUUACUGGGCGUAAAGCGUGCGCAGGCGGUUGUGUAAGACAGGUGUGAAAUCCCCGGGCUCAACCUGGGAACUGCAUUUGUGACUGGCAAGCUAGAGUGUGGCAGAGGGGGGUGGAAUUCCGCGUGUAGCAGUGAAAUGCGUAGAUAUGCGGAGGAACACCGAUGGCGAAGGCAGCCCCCUGGGCCAACACUGACGCUCAUGCACGAAAGCGUGGGGAGCAAACAGGAUUAGAUACCCCCGUAGUCCCUGUCUCUUAUAA